UAAAACUUCACAACCCCAGGGGGAAAGUGGUGUUUUUUCCAAUGUUAUAUACGUUGAAACUGAGGCUCUGAAAAGUUAAGUAACACUUGAGGAUAUGAAAUGAGGCAGAACUCAGGCUGAACGUGGAACUUGAGACCAGCUUGGGUAACAUAACGGGACGCUCUUCUCAAAAAAAAGGAACUCAGGUCUGUGACAACCCAGAAUCUCAGCCCAACUACCAAAUGGCACCAAAGCUUCUGCUUCUGAGAUGUUAAGAAUGGUUACAAGAAAUGCAUUGGCCCGUGCCCAGGAAAUGUGAGUGUUUUUAACAGAGUUGAGUGAUCAGAAUGCUAAACUGGUUCUGACAUAUGCUGCCAACAUGGAAGAACCUUGAAGACCCUGUGCCAAGUAAAUGUCAGUCACGAAACUGCAAAUGCUCCAUAAUUCUACAUAUGGGAAGUGCUUAGAAUAGCCCCAUUACAGACAGUGGGUGGAGGUCGCCAGCUGCGGCAGAGGAGAUGGGGAGUCCUUGCUUAAUGGCUCUGCAGCUUCGGUUUCACAGGAGGGAGAGUUCUGGAGAUGG
rnacentral:lncRNA from 1 species